rnacentral:sRNA from 1 species
UGCCACUAGAAGCCUGGCUUGCUCGGGAGGUGUCGAGAAUAUCUCAUGAUAUCUCUCGUAUUCGGAAACUUUUUGUUAUCAACUCUCGGUUUUUGCUACCGAUAGGCUAUCACUGCCUCGUGUGUCGAAUCGAGCAUUCCCUUCCUUCUAAAUAUUAUCAUGUAGUUCUUGGAGUUAUCAUAGUCAAUUCAGUACUCUCUUGAUAUUCAGUAUUUGGGUCAAUAUUCAGACGUUCUACCUUUCCGACACAAGGCUUGUAGCAGCUGAAGCGAACAACCCACUCAUAGUGCUAGUAAAUAGUUACUGUAUUGUUUGCUACAAUUCCCACCAAGAUGAUUUCUUUACUGGUAAAGUUGUAUAUGAAUCAAUUGAUUUCAUUGACCCCAAUCAGCUCUGCUUUGUCUCUCUCCCCCCCUGCCACUUUAUCUCACUCACAGGUGGCAGCGAGAUCUACCUAUUCAAUCAGUGAGCAAUUGCAAGCUGACGGUUCUUUGUGAUUUAAUCUGAAGAUAACAGUGCGUACUGUUUUUGCUCGAGAAGGAAUCUGAGAAUCACACAGAUGAAAACUGAACUCUGCAGAGAGCUCUACAGAAGGGGAGGGUGAAAAAUAAUGAGAUCUCUUGAUGAGUGAGAGUGAUC